rnacentral:rRNA from 1 species
UACGUAGGUGGCAAGCGAUACUCGGAAUCACUAGGCGUAAAGCGCAGGUAGGCGGUUUGGUAAGUCUUUUGUGAAAGCUCACGGCUCAACUGGGAGAGGCCAAAGGAAACUACUAGACUAGAGUGUGGUAGGGGAUACUGGAAUUCCUGGUGUAGCGGUGAAAUGCGUAGAUAUCAGGAGGAAUACCUAUGGCGAAAGCAGGUAUCUGGGCCAUCACUGAUGCUGAGCUGCGAAAGCUAGGGGAGCAAACAGG